rnacentral:rRNA from 1 species
CGGAGGGGGCUAGCGUUGUUCGGAAUUACUGGGCGUAAAGGGCGCGUAGGCGGCCGUUUAAGUUAGGUGUGAAAGUCCUGGGCUCAACCUGGGGACUGCACUUAAUACUGGAUGGCUUGAAUUCGGGAGAGGAUAGCGGAAUUCCCAGUGUAGAGGUGAAAUUCGUAGAUAUUGGGAAGAACACCGGUGGCGAAGGCGGCUAUCUGGACCGACAUUGACGCUGAGGCGCGAAAGCGUGGGGAGCAAACAGGAUUAGAUACCCUGGUAGUCCACGCCGUAAACGAUGAGUGCUAGACGUUGGGGAGCUUAGCUCUUCAGUGUCGCAGCUAACGCAUUAAGCACUCCGCCUGGGGAGUACGGCCGCAAGGUUA